AAGAUAAUGAAAUUUACAAAGCUUCUAGGAAGGCCCAUCUCAAGUCCUUGCAGCUGAGAGAAUCUGAGCCUGCCACCUCAGAAGUGCCUAAGGAUGGUUGUGAGCAUGUGUGGAUGACUUCUUCAGGAGCCGGACAGCAGUACCGUGGGUGUGAGUGAGUGUGGGUGCUUGUGUGGAGAACAAGGACAACUUUUGGGAAUCGAUUCUCUUACCAUUGAACUCAUUAAUAACAGCUUCAGAAUUUGAGGUACACACAUCGGCUGGCACUCCUCGAAAAGCCAAACAGUCUCUUUCACGCUCCAAGGCAGAGUAAGAGGUCAUGAGCCUACCCUGGAGCAGUCUGAGGUCCCUCAGGUCAAGUUGGGACCUGACUAAGAUCACACAGUGCUGAAGGUCGAAGAGCUAAGUGAAAGGGAGGUGGGAGCAAAGGCCAAACCACCGAGUCUCACACCCAAGGGACGAGAAGCAAAGACAGCGGCGGCCCAUUAUCUGCAGCAGGAAAUGUUGGUGAUCCCAAAGCCUGCCACAGAUCCUCCUGCAUCCUCCUGCUUCCGAAAUGCUGGGAUCAAUGUCUACCAGA
rnacentral:lncRNA from 7 species